rnacentral:rRNA from 1 species
AAUACCCGAUGGGCGAAAGGCCAGCUUUCKGGCAUCCAUAUUGGACACUGAGGGUUGGAARAGCGUGGGUAGCAAACAGGAUUAGAUACCCYKGGUAGUCCACRCCGUAAASGAUGUCUACUAGUCGUUGGUCCCUUGAGGGACUUAGUGACGCAGCUAACGCAAUAAGUAGRCCGCSUGGGGAGUACGGCCGCAAGGUUAAAACUCAAAWGAAUUGACGGGGGCCCGCACAAGCGGUGGAGCAUGUGGUUUAAUUCGAUGCAACGCGAAGAACCUUACCUGGUCUUGACAUAUCUAGAAUCCYGCAGAGAUGCGGGAGUGCCUUCGGGAAUUAGAAUACAGGUKCURCAAGACAGUMGUCAGCUCGUGUCGUGAGAUGUUGGGUUAAGUCCCGCAACGAGCGCAACCCUUGUCCUUAGUUACCAGCGGGUUAAGCCGGGAACUMUAAGGAUACUGCCAGUGACAAACUGGAGGAAGGCGGGGACGACGUCAAGUCAUCAUGGCCCUUACGACCAGGGCUACACACGUGCUACAAUGGUAGGUACAGAGGGCAGCUACACAGCGAUGUGAUGCGAAUCUCAAAAAGCCUAUCGUAGUCCAGAUUGGAGUCUGCAACUCGACUCCAUGAAGUAGGAAUCGCUAGUAAUCGCGGAUCAGAAUGCCGCGGUUAAUGCAUUCCCGGGCCUUGUACACACCGCCCGUCACYCCUCCGGUUUUAUCCACCAGAAGUGGAUAGCCUAACCUUUCSGGAAGKCKUUCACC